ACCGCUGUAUUCCGCAAAUUCUUUGCAUAGGAUUUAUUGGACUUGUCUGUUUUUCUUAACUUUGUUUUUCUAUGCGUCUUAUGCAGUGCUUCUAUCUGAGGCCAUGCUGCUGUGAUGAGGAGAGAGGAGAGGGUGAAGUGGUAUUUAUUCUGAUGUGAUGGGUAGAGAGGAGAGGGUGAAGUGGUAUUUAUUCUGAUGUGAUGGGUAGAGAGGAGAGGGUGAAGUGGUAUUUAUUCUGAUAUGAGAGGGUGAAGUGGUAUUUAUUCUGAUAUGAGAGGGUGAAUGGUAUUUUAUUCUGAUGUGAUGGGUAGAGAGGAGAGGGUGAAGUGGUAUUUAUUCUGAUGUGAUGGGUAGAGAGGAGAGGGUGAAGUGGUAUUUAUUCUGAUAUGAGAGGGUGAAGUGGUAUUUAUUCUGAUGUGAUGGGUAGAGAGGAGAGGGUGAAGUGGUAUUUAUUCUGAUGUGAUGGGUAGAGAGGAGAGGGUGAAGUGGUAUUUAUUCUGAUAUGA
ensembl:lncRNA